UACGUAGGCAGCGAGCGUUGUUCGGAGUUACUGGGCGUAAAGGGUGUGUAGGCGGUUCUCUAAGUUUGGUGUGAAAUCUCCCGGCUUAACUGGGAGGGUGCGCCGAAGACUGGAAGGCUUGAAUCCGGGAGAGGGAUGUGGAAUUCCAGGUGUAGCGGUGAAAUGCGUAGAUAUCUGGAGGAACACCGGUGGCGAAGGCGACAUCCUGGACCGGUAUUGACGCUGAGGCGCGAAAGCCAGGG
rnacentral:rRNA from 1 species